ensembl:misc_RNA RNaseP_nuc Nuclear RNase P
GUUAGAAAGCACUCCUGCACUCCAAACUUCUAAUGAGGCUGUGAGCUGAGUGUGUCACAUCGCUCAACCCUUAGGAAGGUCUGGGAUUAGGGCCAGAAGAGCCUAAACAGGGCUUUUUGACAGGGUGAUGAGUUCCCAGAGAAUAAGGCUUUGUAUAAAAUCAGAUUGGGCAGGAGAUCCUGUGGACCCCACCAUUUCGGGGGGCCCAGUAGUCAAUGCCUCCUUUUAGCCAUAGCUUAGAACAGACUCAGCCAGCAUAGUUCAAUGUCUGAGGUAAGAUACCCCAAAUAGAGGCUUUAUAACCCAAUUCAGACUACUCUUCUCUCUUUC